CAGCAGCCAAGCAACCUGAUCUGCUGGCAGCAAGAUGGAGGAGCUGCACGUAGGAAGAUACGGGAGGGAGCAAUGAUCUGUCUGGGGAAGUGGGAUUUCAGCACAGCUCCAAGCACAGAUGCACUGGCAGUUUCAGCAAAAAGCUCAAAUACUUGAAUCCAGCCGCUCUUCUUGUCAUCACUGAGCUCGCAAAAUCCUAGAAAUAAUUCUUUAUGCACCAAGUGACAGACCUCUGUGGAGCCUGUACACAGCUCUGCCAGCAACAGAGAAGUAAAUUGGCUGUAUUGGUCUAUUACCCACUUACUGCUGCUGAGAAAUACGUGUCUGAACAGCUGUCAAGGCAAAGCCGUGUGAAUCAUUAAAACGGCUUCUCAGCU